ensembl:processed_transcript
AUUCGUAAUACAAGCAGCUACACAGAAACUCUUGAGUAUGGUGGCGUAAGCCUGUACUAUCAGCGCUCAGGAGGCUGAGGAAGGAAGAUUGCAGGUCCAAGGUUGGCCUUGGGUACUUACUCUCUCUAUAUAUAUUGGAAGGAGGGGGAAUCAUGGAGAGAGUAAAGGGGAGAGUAGGGAGGGAGGAAGUUGGUAGUAUAACUAAACUAUUAAGGCUAUAAAGCAUGGUACAAGACCUUGGGUCCACUUAACACCUCAUCUCAACGCACUUCAUACACACACACACACACACACACACACACACACACACACACACACACACACAAAUAAAAGGAGCAGGUUGGUCCCAGUGUUGAAGCAAUAGACCAGAAACAGGAAGGUCGGGAUUCACACCCAAACACAUGAGCGUUGUGUAUUAAUACACUCACAUGUAGCUCAGGCUGGCCUGGAACUCCACAUCCCCCUGCCUCGGCCCUUUCACUUCCCAGGAUGCUGGGAUUACAGACAUUCCAAGCCACACUUAAUGCAUUCCAGGCAAACCCUCUACCAACUGAGCUGUCUCUUCAGGCCCAAUACCCAAUGGGUUUUUGUUUUGUUUCUUAAAUUUUAUUUAUUUUUAUACGUGGGUGUUUGGUCUGAAUUUAUUUUUGUGCAGCACAUGUGUGCUUAGUGCCCACAGAGGGCAGAAGAAGGUAUUAGAUUCCCUGAGACUUGAUUUAUAGAAGCUUGUACGUUACCAUAUAGGUGCUGGGAACAAACCUUUGUCUUCCAGAAGUAUAGUCAGUGAUCUCAUCUGAUGAGCAACUCCAGUCCUGCCAAUGCAUGUUGUUGUUGUUGAUGCUGUUGUUGUUGUUUUGAGACAGGCUCUCACUAUGUAGUCUUGGCUGUCCUGGAACUCACGAUGUUGACCAGGUUGGUCUCAAACUCACAGAGAUUCAUUGUCUACUUCUUUCAAGUGCUGGUAUUAAAGGUGUUCAUAUAACAUAUUAUUGUUUCUAUAUUUUAUAUUACAUAUUAAUAUUACAUAUUAAUAUAACAUUAGUGUAUAUUUACACACAUUAAUAUAGAAAAAAAGAGAAUUGCUUUCUAACUUGUUUGGGCAUUUUACCUAGGAAUCCUGUUCAUUGUGGGCUGUGACUGAUAAAAAUCCAAAUGAGGAGACUUGGAGAACAGGAGGGCAUUAGAACCCCUCACCCAGAGAACUCCUCAUUGUACACAUCACACCCAGGGCAGCUGUCAUCCGAACCCGCCGGGCCAUGCAUCGUGCCUGCUGGACUGGAGGCCUGCCUGGUAUGUGAUAUUUGAGCAAAUCCCAGUGUGAAGGUUUUGUUUCAGGCUGCCCAUUUCCUGCCAGCUCCAACUACCACGGUGACAGGUCGGCUCUCAGCCACAUCAUCAAGCAGACUCAGGUAACCAAUUGAUCGUCUGUUUAUCGAAUAGUGCAUCUCCCUAGUACAUGGUUCUCUUUUUAAAAUUCUACCAAUUCGUUUUAGUUAGCACAGCAAAUAACGAGCUUCAAUGCGAUAUUUUCAUGAUAUUUUGCUCAUAUCCGUCUCCCAUCCUUCUCUCCCACCCCUUCCGCUUCCUGUUGUCUCCAUUCUUCCUCCCAAAGCAGCUCUCUUCUGCUUUCAUGUCCUGGGUGUGUAUCUAAAGCUAAAGUCUGUGUGUGAGGAAAAACAAGGGCAGCAUUCUUCUUUCUAUUCCCCUCAUUACUCUCUUGCCUCCUUAUCAUGGAUGUCUCUUUAUAUCGUUAGGUCUGCUGUAUUGAGUUUGCAAUAUAUAUUCCAUAUAGGAGUAGAAACUUGCAGCUUUGGUAUCUUGAGUCUGGCUUGUUUUCCUUAACAUGAUGGUUUCCAGCUCAUUUUUCUGCAACUUGCAUAAUUUUAUUAUUCUUUACUACUGAAUGAAGCAGAUAAAAACAAACAAACAAAAUCAAAAGUGCUUUUUAAGAAGAGGGUUCAAAAACCACAAAAAUAUCAAGGAUGACAGUCAAGGUAGAAACUAAGACUGGGGAAAUACUGUAUGUGGUCCAACUUCCUUUCUCUUCAGCUGCAGUUUCUACCUCGUCAUACACUGCUCACCCUUUGCCCUUCUUAUUUUAUUAUUAAGAGACGUUAGAUGAUCAGGAAAGCAUCUUCAUUUAAGGCUACCAGGGACACUGGAAGGAAUAAGACAUGAUCAGAAAAAUAAAAAUAAAAACAUGCAUGAUACAGAAUGAGACCAGGACUGGAGAGAUGGUUCAGUCCACUAAGUGCUUGCCCUACACCCACAAAGUACCAGAGUGUGAACUCCAAAACCCAAGUAUAUAUUAAAAAAACAAAAUAGAACCCAGUACAGGCAUAGUGGC